rnacentral:tRNA from 1 species
GGCUUCGUAGCUCAGCAGGAUAGAGCGGUGGUUUCCUAAACCAUGUCUUUGCCCGCGUUCGAGUCGCGGCGGGGCCA